GAAACGGCAACAGCUCAAAUUUGAAAUCUGGCCCUUUGGGGUCCGAGUUGUAAUUUGCAGAGGGUGUUUCGGGCACGGUGCCGGUUUAAGUCCUUUGGAACAGGGCGUCAUAGAGGGUGAGAACCCCGUAUGUGACCGGUCGCCAAACCCAUGUGAAACCCCUUCGACGAGUCGAGUUGUUUGGGAAUGCAGCUCAAAAUGGGUGGUAAAUUUCAUCUAAAGCUAAAUAUUGGCCAGAGACCGAUAGCGCACAAGUAGAGUGAUCGAAAGAUGAAAAGCACUUUGGAAAGAGAGUCAAACAGCACGUGAAAUUGUUGAAAGGGAAGCGCUUGCGACCAGACCUGCUCGCGGGUGAUCAGCGGUGCUUUUCGCGCCGUGCACUCAUCCGCGAUCAGGCCAGCAUCGGUUCAGGCGGCCGGAUAAAGACUCGGAGAAUGUAGCUCCCUCCGGGGAGUGUUAUAGCUCCUUGUGCAAUACGGCCAGCCGGGACCGAGGACCGCGCUUCGGCUAGGAUGCUGGCGUAAUGGUCGUAAGCGACCCGUCUUGAAACACGGACCAAGGAGUCUAACAUCUGUGCGAGUGUUUGGGCGUCAAACCCAUGCGCGCAAUGAAAGUGAACGUGAGGUGGGAACCCUUUCGGGGGCGCACCAUCGACCGAUCCAGAUGUCUUCGGAUGGAUUUGAGUAAGAGCACAGCUGUUGGGACCCGAAAGAUGGUGAACUAUGCCUGAAUAGGGUGAAGCCAGAGGAAACUCUGGUGGAGGCUCGCAGCGGUUCUGACGUGCAAAUCGAUCGUCAAAUUUGGGUAUAGGGGCGAAAGACUAAUCGA
rnacentral:rRNA from 1 species